rnacentral:rRNA from 1 species
AUGGUAGCUUGGAGGAUUAGUAAUAUGACUAUUCCUUUCCAAUUAGCUGUUUUUGCAUUAAUUGCGACUUCCUCAGUCUUAGUAAUUAGUGUACCCCUUGUAUUUGCUUCUCUUGAUGGUUGGUCAAAUAAUAAAAAUGUUGUAUUUUCCGAUACAUCAUUAUGGAUUGGACUAGUCUUUCUCGUAGCUAUUCUGAAUUCUCUCAUUUCUUAA